AGUUAAACUCACUUACGUUUGGACAAAUGGAAGACUAAUUAAAUUUGGAUGAAAUUGAAUUAGUUUGCUAUGUUUAUAAAAUCAAAGUUCACUUUUGUACGGCUACAAUGGAUUUUGAAUCAGUUAGUUAUUUGCAAUUUACUACUCUUUUUGUAGUGAAUUUUUUCACAUUGCUGAAUCUGAUGGAGGUCGAGAAUAGAGGAUGAAUGAUAAUGAAGCGGAAUUGAGAAGGAAUGGAGAUUGUAUGGCUAAACCCAGCGACGACUAUAUCUUCCGCAACGGUAGUUACAAAAACUAAGAAAACAAAUUGUUUUUUUUGUUGUUGUUGUUGGUAGAUAGUAGCACUCAAAUUGCUUUUUUGCAUUAUACGUCUUUCAGGUAUUCGGUACGCCAGAGCAUAUUACUUUGAGUUCAUAUCCCAUAUGUAUACUGAUAUUUUUGUCAUAAAUGUUCCCAUUUGUAUGUAUAAUUAAAACCCUAAUUGAAUCGGUUCACAGGCUAAAAAUAGGCAGGCGGGAAAGACCAUUGCCGAUCUUUUUGCUGAAGAGUUUAG
rnacentral:lncRNA from 1 species